rnacentral:lncRNA from 1 species
UAACGUCUAGGUCGGGUUGGGGGGUUACAUUAGCAACUAGGUUCACUUUGAUAUCUAUACUUUUUUUUUUUAUUCAAACAUAGGUAUCGAAAUGAACCUAGUUCCCAAGUUAAGAGACUAAAAAUUAUAUUAUCCUUAAUUUUUAUUCAAAUUUGAUUGUGUUAAACCCUCAUCCGUACAAGGCCACGUGGCAAACCGAAAGGGCACCUGAGCAACAAGCUAGUCG